GAUGAAGAACGCAGCGAAAUGCGAUACGUAAUGUGAAUUGCAGAAUUCAGUGAAUCAUCGAGUCUUUGAACGCACAUUGCGCCCGCCAGUAUUCUGGCGGGCAUGCCUGUCCGAGCGUCAUUUCAACCCUCGAACCCCUCCGGGGGGUCGGCGUUGGGGACCUCGGGAGCCCCUAAGACGGGAUCCCGGCCCCGAAAUACAGUGGCGGUCUCGCCGCAGCCUCUCCUGCGCAGUAGUUUGCACAACUCGCACCGGGAGCGCGGCGCGUCCACGUCCGUAAAACACCCAACUUCUGAAAUGUUGACCUCGGAUCAGGUAGGAAUACCCGCUGAACUUAAGCAUAUCAAUAAGCGGAGGA
rnacentral:misc_RNA from 1 species